UCAUCAUCUAGUCAUCCCCUAAAGUCAAUUUCCAUCAUAAGGGAGCAGCAGACCACAAGGUACUUUACCUUGCUUGGUCACAAGUCUCCAUCCCCAGGCAUCCCAGAGAAAGAGAACUGAUGAACUCUGAGUGCACAUUAAAGCAUACUUAAAAAAAAAAUAAAGCUGUUACUUGGUGAAAAUCAUUUGCACUCACACUGUGGAUCACGACCAAGUUAAAAAGGAAAUGGAUUUCAUUUUUGGGUGAGAAACCUUUGUAUUCUACCUCUCCUUGGCUGACACUGAUUGAGAAGGGAUCACCAAAGAGCCUCUGCACAGUACUGAGGAGCACAAAGUUAACCUGCACAGUGCCAAUGAGCACAAGGUCAAAGAGACCAACCAAUCCUGUUGGGAUUGAUGAGAUUCUGUUCUAAGACAUGGGACUUGAACUUGUUUGAGGUUCAAGGUUAUGGCUGUUUGACAUGUCAGAUGCAGGUCUUCUCUGUGUCACGUACUGAAGUUUGGCUAUUAUCCUGGCUCCCCUAUCCCUGAGAGAAAAGGCAUCCAAGAUUUUAGGAGUGCUCCAAUAUGUGAUUGCCAUUGAAAAUACAGAAGACAACAGGAGUGGAGUUCAGAGUAAUAAAGGACCUAGAAGAAUUUAGCUGCACGAAGAAUCUUACUUCAUCUGUUUUUCUGCUCUUGUUCUGCCUUGUAUUUAAACACAAUAAGACAUGACUCACACCAAACAAACCUGUUUCACCUCAUCUCACCAGCAACUCAUCUUCUGAAACCACAAAGAAAAUGCAGGUUGGAAGCUCUAGAAUGUUAAUAGGACCUGUCACCUCCUAGGGCAACAAACAAUCCUAUAAAUGAAAGACUUCCAGGUUAUGAGGGGGAAAAACACCUAAACUCAUUGCUCAUAGUUCAAAACUUCCGCCUUCCAUCAGAAGAUAAACACUUGUUUUACAAAUAAAAAUAAGCUUUGAUGUUCCUUAGGGGGGAAAAUAUAAACCAAUAUGAAGACA